CAUUAGAUGGCUGAAAGUAAGCAAUGGAAUUUUAAACCAUAAAAUAGUAAAAUAACACUUACUUCUAAUG
rnacentral:tRNA from 1 species